rnacentral:rRNA from 1 species
CCUACGGGUGGCAGCAGUGAGGAAUAUUGGUCAAUGGACGAGAGUCUGAACCAGCCAAGUAGCGUGAAGGAUGACUGCCCUAUGGGUUGUAAACUUCUUUUAUAUGGGAAUAAAAUGUUCCACGUGUGGGAUUUUGUAUGUACCAUAUGAAUAAGGAUCGGCUAACUCCGUGCCAGCAGCCGCGGUAAUACGGAGGAUCCGCGCGUUAUCCGGAUUUAUUGGGUUUAAAGGGAGCGUAGGGGGAUUGUUAAGUCAGUUGUGAAAGUUUGCGGCUCAACCGUGAAAUUGCAGUUGAAACUGGCAGUCUUGAGUACAGUAGAGGUGGGCGGAAUUCGUGGUGUAGCGGUGAAAUGCUUAGAUAUCACGAAGAACUCCGAUGGCGAAGGCAGUUCACUGGACUGAAACUGACACUGAGGCUCGAAAGUGUGGGUAUCAAACAGGAUUAGAUACCCUUGUAGUC